UGGGAAGGAAAAUGUGGGAGGAAGGCAACAGUGGGGUUACAAAAGGCAAUGGUUCUUUUUACUGAUGAUGCUAGUUUGUAAACCUUACUAAAGAAAAAUAAACAUACAUAUCAUUUUAUUAUGGCUAAAACAAACAAAACAAACAAACAAUAAACUUCUACCAUUGGGAUGUUUAAAAUGCUUUUAGCUGUUUUUUUGUUUGUUUGUUUGUUUUGUGUGUGUGUGUGUUUUCUUUCCUUUAUUUCUUUCAUUUUUUCUCUGAUCACAGAUGAACUGUGAAUGAAGCAGUCAUGGUGGUCUACAUCUUUUUAAACAGAAAUGCAAGAAAAAAACUAGAACAAGGCAGGAAAAUGUCAUUAAAGGAAGGGGAAAAGUUUCUUCAUGUCCGGCAGCAUUCAGAAUUUACCCUGAGAGCUUUCCUUGGGGGAAAGGUAUCAGAAGAACAGUUAUCUGCACCUCGGAUGAAGUGGAAAAUUUAGUUAAUGUUGCUAUGUUCCAGGGAAAUACACAUUGAUAUUGUGAUCUACAACAGCAGGUGAAGGCACUCCACAACGGAAGAUAACCUUUUUCAACAUUCAAAGUUAGAGGUCAAAGAAGAAGUAGGUGUUAAACACAAUUAAUGCUUUUGAAUAAUUUAGCAACGUUUUCAAAGUUUGAAAUCACAAGGCUUUUGGACUUUUAAAGCUGGCAAGAACUAGAAAGAGGACUUAGGGAAACUGAACUUUAAUUUUCCGUUCUUUGAAGAUAUCAAAGGAACUCCUAACUCUUGUUUGGUCUGUCAGGAAAAGAAAGGAAGCAUAAGGGUUAUUUUCAUGUCUUCUCGUUUUUCCACGGAUCACUAUUGUAUUUCUGUCUGUACUGUAUAUCUUGCAACUUUUAUAUGGGUUAACUGAUCUUUGAUUCCAUUACAAAAUAUUUCAAGAUCCAUAACCAAAAAAUGUUGGACAAAAAAUGAUUAUUCUAAUUGCACUAGGAUGGUAAUUGUUGAUCAUUGAAUUGUUGAUUACAUAGAAAU
rnacentral:lncRNA from 1 species